rnacentral:rRNA from 1 species
UGAGCAAUCUGCCCUUCUCAUCGGAAUAAGCGUUGGAAACGACGUCUAAUGCCGAAUACGACCUCCUUUCGCAUGAUCGGAGGUGGAAAGCUCCGGCGGAGAAGGAUGAGCUCGCGGCCUAUCAGCUAGUUGGUGUGGGUAAUGGCCCACCAAGGCACGAGU